CUAAUCUGGUAAAGCGAAUGAUUAGAGGCAUUAGGGCCGAAACGACCUUAACCUAUUCUCAAACUUUAAAUGGGUAAGAACCUUAUCUUACUUGAUAUGAAGAUAAAGGUUGUGAUAUAUUGUGCCCAGUGGGCCACUUUUGGUAAGCAGAACUGGCGCUGUGGGAUGAACCAAACGUAAUGUUACGGCGCCCAAAUUAACAACUCAUACUGAUACCAUGAAAGGCGUUGCUUGCUUAAAACAGCAGGACGGUGGACAUGGAAGUCGUAAUCCGCUAAGGAGUGUGUAACAACUCACCUGCCGAAGCAACUAGCCCUUAAAAUGGAUGGCGCUCAAGUUGUAUGCCUAUACAUUACCGCUAAAGCAUAUGAUAUA
rnacentral:rRNA from 1 species